UGCUGCACAUUUUCAUAACAAAACUGCGAGCAGUAUGUUCUGCACUAUUUCGUCCAACCUAAACAAUUAAUUACUAUUGCAAAAACUGCAAAAUGGGAUGUUGCAUACACUUUCAUAGCAAGCUUGAAUUCCCAAAGUAUCCCACAGGUCUGUAUUUGGCCUGGCAACUUUUUUGGGUCUUCAUAUUUUACUAACAGCAAUCCCUGUUUGCAUUCCAUAGUAGUAAUAUACCUAUAGUUUUUUUCCUCACUACUUUACAUCGGCCCUUGAGAGCAUAACACUUCGUUCAUCAGCACGAGCAUUUUACUUUUAAUUUAACUAGUUUAGGAGCAUUUUACUUUUCUUUAGCGCUUUGAAACACGCAGAGGCUAAUAGUUUCAAACAGAGUGUCACAAAUAACAUGUAUUCCUUUAGAAAUAAACUGUGAUACUUCUAAAAAACAAAAAACAAACAAAAAAAAACAAACAUAUUCUUUCCUCAUCACUACCCAUUUCACCAUUUUAUUUAAAUAUCUGAAUUUUCAGAAUGAUGAUCCAAGCGGGACACAGAGGCUGCUAGUUUUAACGCACCAGAAUGCAAAUAUAAAUAAAAGCCUGACUAUCCUGAGAGCCUAGCUGCAGCGACACCUUUCUUUCACACGGAUGCCUGGAUGUGCGUUGGAGCCGACUGUGCUACCCGCACACAGCGUUUCUGACCUACGGGCGCUGCUUAUACAACAGAGAAAAGCAACAAUACAGCGUGUUUCUCUGCUCCAAGACAUCAGAGGGCCUUUCACACGAUGCCACUGUGCAACCCACCUCCUUCCCAUCUCCACCUCUCAUCACUCAAGUUCCAUUCAAGCCACCUUCACCACCAGCGUCGAGGCUCCAGGGGCUCCGGCUCUAAUCCCUUUCAAAGCCGGGACAGGCCAUCGGAGUCUAACCGCCAUACGUCAAUCUAUAUCUGUUCAUCAAUAAAUCAUGUUCAGUCUUUCUAAUGAUCUGUCCUUACUGAAAUAUAUUUAGUCUUUUGUUUUACAAACAAUGUGGCUAUAAUGUCUUUAUCAGCUAACGUUCAACCUUCUCUUCUUCACAGACCAUUAAAUGCUUUGAUUUAACAAAGAAUAUGGCAUCUUAGUCAUGCAUGUUCAGUAGUUUAGAGAAAUGCAAUAAACUAAACUAAAAUAAUCAUGAUAGACCGGAUAAAGAAACCCCCCCCCCCGAAUGAAAUGAUGUGUACAAAGUAAAAUAAAAUAAAAAAUACACAGAAAAUGUCUUUGUCAGUGUGGUCAAUGUAAGCAUAAAUAAACUCUGAUGCAGAUCGUUAUGAACACAGGGACGGCUCUUUGAUAUUUAAUGUUGUGUUUGAGAAACAUCAGCCACAUAAACCAGCCUGAAAUGAAUACAAAUGAAAUUAAAAGUAAACAUUUACAAAAUGCAAGAACUGAAUAAAACUGAAUUUAAAGAAAUCAAAAUGAAAUAACUGCUGAACUGUUUGUUUUGUUUGGAGUUAUUUGAUAGUUACACACAGUAAGAUGUAAGGAGUGUUAAUGGCUCUCCCUUUCAGGUGUGUUUGGUUUUUCUAUACAUCGUUACAUGGACACCUUUUAUUUGGCGAUGUCCUAAAAACCAUUGUUGCAGAUGUUUAAAGUGCUGCAGGAACUGUGGUGCUCAAUGUGAGCUGCUUAAAACGUCCUUUCCCUCUUAUUCGAGUUUCUCAGGCUUCUACUUCAUUUAAAAAGCUGGUGAGUCUCAUGCACAGAAACUAUGAUGCAAACGUGCAGAGAUCCAAACUGGUCUGUCAGAAAAUGCCCCAGAGGUAAAAUUUGUGGGAUGUUGAGCACACUAAAACAUACCAUGACAAGACAUUGAACUGCAUAUUCUUCCUGUUUGGUUCCCUCCGGCUAAUAUAGACACAUAUUAGACUGAUUAGUCUAAAUUGGUAACAGUGGUAGACAUGAGAUGGAUAAAGUGCUUAUAAUGUACACAUCACAUAACAACACAUAAAGUUCAUUGAAUGGUAAGUAAGACUAUCAAAGUGCUAAAUACCUGCAACUUUAUUCUUGCACAAAUCAAUCAGAGGAAGCUACGAUGAUGACCUCGGACUACGUCGGGUAUCCAGUGCAUUGAAAUAAUACCAGAAUUUUCCCUUUCAGGGUGUGCAAAUAUUAAAGAAACCAAAAUGUGUAAAACAUUAGUGUGUAACAGUCAUGUUAACUUACUGUUAACACCUGCUGUUCCUGCUUUUGUAAGUUAUAGAUUUUACAGUGACUUUUACAGGCUUUUAAAUUGUAGCCAUGUACAUCCAAAUAUCAGCAAACGUAAAACGCAAAGUUUAAAUGGUACAGAGAAAAAGCCAGUGUGACCCGGCUUUAAUGACUUUAACUAUAGAAAGCAGCGGUGCGACGAUGCUACGAGGAGCAGAGAUAAAGAAGCGUGGGCGUGACGACGGUGUUUUCCUAACAGGCUCCAGCUCCAUUCAUCAUUCUCAGGUUCCUUGUGUAAAACGUGCUAGCUGCAGGCAGGACAGGGAGAAGAAGAGAGGCCCAUUCUGACAGCUUUUGAUGGAUAGCCUGCAUAUUUCACCAUUUCUUAUUAAAUCUACUCAAAAAGAAAAAAAAAACAGGAUC
ensembl:lncRNA